rnacentral:rRNA from 1 species
UUUUAUGGAGAGUUUGAUCCUGGCUCAGAGUGAACGCUGGCGGCGUGCCUAAUACAUGCAAGUCGAACGAUGAAGCUUCUAGCUUGCUAGAAGUGGAUUAGUGGCGCACGGGUGAGUAAGGUAUAGUUAAUCUGCCCUACACAAGAGGACAACAGUUGGAAACGACUGCUAAUACUCUAUACUCCUGCUUAACACAAGUUGAGUAGGGAAAGUUUUUCGGUGUAGGAUGAGACUAU